AAUAAUUCAAUAGCGGAGGAAAAGAAACCAACAGGGAUUGCCCUAGUAACGGCGAGUGAAGCGGCAACAGCUCAAAUUUGAAAUCUGGCCUCUUUGGGGGUCCGAGUUGUAAUUUGCAGAGGGUGCUUUGGCGUUGGCUGUGGUCUAAGUUCCUUGGAACAGGACGUCGCAGAGGGUGAGAAUCCCGUAUGUGGCCGCCAGUCUUCGCCGUGUAAAGCCCCUUCGACGAGUCGAGUUGUUUGGGAAUGCAGCUCUAAAUGGGAGGUAAAUUUCUUCUAAAGCUAAAUAUUGGCCAGAGACCGAUAGCGCACAAGUAGAGUGAUCGAAAGAUGAAAAGCACUUUGGAAAGAGAGUCAAAAAGCACGUGAAAUUGUUGAAAGGGAAGCGCUUGCAGCCAGACUUGCUUGCAGUUGUUCAGCCGGGCUCUUGCCCGGUCUACUCUUCUGCUCGCAGGCCAGCAUCAGUCCGGGCGGUUGGAUAAAGGCCUAUUAAACGUACCUCCCCUCGGGGAGGACUUAUAGGGUAGGCGACAUGCAACCAGCCCGGAUUGAGGUCCGCGCAUCUGCUAGGAUGCUGGCGUAAUGGCUGUAAGCGGCCCGUCUUGAAACACGGACCAAGGAGUCUAACAUCUAUGCGAGUGUUUGGGUGUCAAGCCCGAGCGCGUAAUGAAAGUGAACGGAGGUGGGAACCUUUCGGGGUGCACCAUCGACCGAUCCUGAUGUCUUCGGAUGGAUUUGAGUAAGAGCAUAGCUGUUGGGACCCGAAAGAUGGUGAACUAUGCCUGAAUAGGGUGAAGCCAGAGGAAACUCUGGUGGAGGCUCGCAGCGGUUCUGACGUGCAAAUCGAUCGUCAAAUUUGGGCAUAGGGGCGAAAGACAAUCAAC
rnacentral:rRNA from 1 species